UUUUUCCCUCGGAUCACGAAGUGCACAAAGUCUUUUAAUUCAUAUUUUCCAGCAGUUCUAUAUAUUGUGAACGGCUUCAGAAGCAUCCGUCUGUGCCAGGACAGAGUUCAUUUUCCAUCCUGUGCUUUAUUAAAUGUGAGAAGCACACUAGAAAUGCCUGGGUGAUAAGAGGAUGCACUUUUUAUCUGCCUGGAGCCUGACUGACAUCUCCGAACGCUGUUACAUCUAAACAGCUUGAAUAUGUGACCUCAUUCCUUAAAUACCAUCACUUGAACAGCUCUUGUUGCUAAAAUAAAAGCACUGUUGAUUCUCUGUUGUGAGAACUCCUACAGACCCUCUGACAAGCACCAACUAGACGGUACCUUUUUUCACUGUGAUGCAGAUGAUUGCUUGGCUGUAGGAACUGCAGCGUUACCUGUAGCAGCAAUUACAGCAAAGGCACUGCUUGCGGUUUUGAUGGCACUCGCUUGUGUUACCAUCCAACUGUCACACAAAUCUCUGCCACGUGGAGCAGGAUUGGGAAACAGACCACAAGGAACAUGAGCCUGGAAAGAUUACAUACAUACAUCUGCAGACUUCUUAACACUGCAGACAGACGACUUGGGUGCACUGACAGCGCACAGAAGUGGCAGACGGAAUAGAGGUCCAACGAAGCUGGUGGUCCUCGUGUUCCUCAGGAGUGUAAACUAUUGUGGCUAAAAUGAUUUUCCUUUUCGUAGACGACCAAAAAUGACUCUGGCUGAAGACGUUCAAGUUGGUUUCACUGCUGUGUCUGUACUCAGAACUUACAAAGUAUUAAAAAUAGCUAUAGGUAAGGGAAUCAUGUCAUAAAUCCCAAACCACGUUAACUGCUGGCACAGUGAGGAAGAAUUGCUGCUAAUGGAGCUGCAGCACUGCUUCUGGGCUGUGGUCCUCCAUGUUGGGACACAGCACUUCCAGCAGAGCAAGACUCUGGUUGGGGGAUAACAGAAUUAUGGGUGAACCACAGUCCUCCAAAGAACAUAAGGGUUGGCUAAGAUCAUCUAGUCUAACCACCAACCCAGCACCACCGCGCCACUAAAGCCAAAUAUGACAGCCAAAAGGGCUGGCUUGGAAACGUACGUGAAUUGUUUGUCAACAAGAAAAUCUUAAGAGAGAGAAAAAAUAAUGAAGAGAACAGAGUCUAAAGACUUUACAAGUCUUCAGCUACGUUCGCAUUCACUGCUGGAGGAUUUUGUAUCCCCGUAGGAUAACAGUUGUCUUUGUGAAAAUACUUUCUGUGGUCCUUCUAGGCGUGCCUGCAAGAGGAAGGGAAUGCCCGGGUCCUCGUGCCGCUUGCGCGAGCCUCCUCCAGCACAACGCGAGGCCGGGCCAGGUGCAGGCUGCCCGGAGGAGGCGGGGGGGC